UUAUUAGUAUAAGUAUGUCUCAUAUUUGAGACAUACUUAUACUAAAA
rnacentral:pre_miRNA from 1 species